GACGUAGGGGACGAGCGUUGUCCGGAUUUAUUGGGCGUAAAGAGCGUGUAGGCGGCUUUGCAAGUCCGUUGUGAAAACUCGAGGCUCAACCUCGAGACGCCGGUGGAAACUGCAAAGCUAGAGUCCGGAAGAGGAGAGUGGAAUUCCUGGUGUAGCGGUGAAAUGCGCAGAUAUCAGGAAGAACACCCGUGGCGAAGGCGGCUCUCUGGGACGGUACUGACGCUGAGACGCGAAAGCGUGGGGAGCGAACAGG
rnacentral:rRNA from 1 species